AAUGAAAGUGCAGUAUAUUAUCAGGUGAGUAUUGCAAUGGCUUCAUUUGUGAACUGCAUUUCUACCAUGAAGUAUCUAGUUGUCUUUGGUUUGGUGGUAAUAGCUGCAGUUGCUUAUGGACUUCCCGCGCCAAGAGCACAACCCACUCCCUAUGCAACCCCAAUGCCAGGCCCAUUGCCCCAGCCUAGACCAUCGCCAGAUCCCUCAUACGGAUAUGGGGCAUUAGCUAGGGUCGGAAAUGGAUGUCAUGGAUGUUUCUCAGGACAUGGUGGUUACGAUUUUAAAUGGCAAGGCCAAGGUUAUGGUUACGAUAGUUACCUUGAAUUUCCGUUCUACGGUUACUAAAAAGACUAAUAAAAUCUUUUAUUUUGUAUGAGUAAUGUGUAAUUUUUUUAAAUAAAAUUGGAUAUUAUUUUUUA